GGGCGUAUAGCUCAGUUGGUUAGAGUGUCACGUUGACAUCGUGAAGGUCUCCUGUUCGAAUCAGGAUACGCCCA
rnacentral:tRNA from 1 species